AGUGAACGCUGGCGGCAGGCCUAAUACAUGCAAGUCGAACGGCAGCACAGCAGAGCUUGCUCUGUGGGUGGCGAGUGGCGGACGGGUGAGGAAUACAUGGGAAUCUGCCCAGUCGUGGGGAUAACGUAGGGAAACUUACGCUAAUACCGCAUGCGCCCUUCGGGGAAAGCCGGGGACCUUCGGGCCUGGCGCGAUUGGAUGAGCCCAUGUCGGAUUAGCUAGUUGGCGGGGUAAUGGCCCACCAAGGCGACGAUCCGUAGCUGGUCUGAGAGGAUGAUCAGCCACACUGGAACUGAGACACGGUCCAGACUCCUACGGGAGGCAGCAGUAGGGAAUAUUGGACAAUGGGCGCAAGCCUGAUCCAGCCAUGCCGCGUGAGUGAAGAAGGCCCUCGGGUUGUAAAGCUCUUUUGUCCGGAAAGAAAAGACGCCGGGUUAAUACCCUAGUGUCCUGACGGUACCGGAAGAAUAAGCACCGGCUAACUUCGUGCCAGCAGCCGCGGUAAU
rnacentral:rRNA from 1 species